rnacentral:rRNA from 1 species
UGGGGAAUCUUGCACAAUGGAGGAAACUCUGAUGCAGCGACGCCGCGUGAGCGAAGAAGCCUUUCGGGGUGUAAAGCUCUUACGCCAGGGACGAUAAUGACGGUACCUGGAGAAGCAGCUGCGGCUAACUACGUGCCAGCAGCCGCGGUAAUACGUAGGCAGCAAGCGUUGUUCGGAACUACUGGGCGUAAAGGGUGCGUAGGCGGCGCUCUAAGUUUGGUGUGAAAUCUCCCGGCUUAACUGGGAGGGUGCACUGAAAACUGGGGCGCUCGAGUAUGGGAGAGGAAAGCGGAAUUCCUGGUGUAGCGGUGAAAUGCGUAGAGAUCAGGAGGAACACCUGCGGUGCAGACGGCUUUCUGGACCAUCACUGACGCUGAGGCACGAAAGCGUGGGUAGCAAACA